GGGGCCGUAGCUCAGAUGGGAGAGCGCUAGAUUUGCAUUCUAGAGGCCAGGGGUUCGAUCCCCCUCGGCUCCA
rfam:Candidate division WOR-1 bacterium RIFOXYC12_FTLL_54_18 RifOxyC12_full_WOR_1_54_18_curated_complete, whole genome shotgun sequence.